CUUUUAGGAAACCCUGACUAGUAAACUCACUGAAGUAUCUCACUGGCCCCUUGAUCUUUCAUGGGCUUGGUCACCUCAGGAAAUGGUCAUGUACUCAGGCAUGAAGUUCCCCUCGGUGCCAGGCCAAAGAUGCGCAUGGACAAGCAUUCCUCGCUGAUGCACACCGUGUGUCUGACAGAGGAGGGAAAGGACUGAGGUUUGGACACAGUGAAGACAGUCUCUUCUACCGUGUUGAAUGUUAGUAAAUGGCAUACCCGGGAUUCUUCUCGUUGGUAGAUAUUUGGGGGACCUCGGAGGAUGCUUGAAGAGCUCUGUGCUCCUGGACCUGACUCUGCCCUGCCGACUCUGUGUUUGAUUUGGGCAGACUCCCCCUGCUCUUUCACACAUGGCUGGUCUGGUGAAAGUCUCAUGUGAGCUCAGGGAAGACAUUCCCGAGCCUGUCGGAUGGACAUUUUCAUGAAUAUGAAUACCGCAGAGGGUGCUUCCGCUUGCGGUGGGAGCUUCAGCUCUUGCUGCCGCUACUACAAUCUUCAGCACGCCCUCUGAGUUCCCCAUUUUCCUCCCCGCUUCCUCAGCUGCUGGCAUCCCACAGCUCUGCUUGGGAACUUAGGCUCCCUAUUAACAAGACGGAUAUGCUCCAUCCAUUGUUCUUUUUUUGCAACUAAAAUGACUCACUUUUGUCCCUUACAACAGAUUCGCUUUGAAUCUCAUCUUUUCCCUUCUGAUAUUGAAGUUGUUGGGUUUUACUUUUGUUCCUGAUUUGCAAACACCCCGCCCUCCCCCCGUUUAUUUUGUUUUCAUGUCUCUGGAAUCCGGACUGCUAGAUUCCUUUCUGUUUUGAACCUUUUGAAGAUGGUUUGUCUUUUGU